AGCGUACACGGUGGAUGCCUAGGCAGUCAGAGGCGAUGAAGGGCGUGCUAAUCUGCGAAAAGCGUCGGUAAGGUGAUAUGAACCGUUACAACCGGCGAUACCCGAAUGGGGAAACCCAGUGUGUUUCGACACACUAUCAUGUCAUGAAUACAUAGUGGCAUGAGGCGAACCGGGGGAACUGAAACAUCUAAGUACCCCGAGGAAAAGAAAUCAACCGAGAUUCCCCCAGUAGCGGCGAGCGAACGGGGAGGAGCCCAGAACCUGAAUCGGCUUGUGUGUUAGUGGAAGCGUCUGGAAAGUCGCGCAGCAAAGGGUGAUAGCCCCGUACACUAAAAUGCACAGGUCGUGAGUUCGAUGAGUAGGGCGGGACACGUGACAUCCUGUCUGAAUAUGGGGGGACCAUCCUCCAAGGCUAAAUACUCCUGACUGACCGAUAGUGAACCAGUACCGUGAGGGAAAGGCGAAAAGAACCCCGGCGAGGGGAGUGAAAUAGAACCUGAAACCGUGUACGUACAAGCAGUGGGAGCACCUUCGUGGUGUGACUGCGUACCUUUUGUAUAAUGGGUCAGCGACUUAUAUUUUGUAGCAAGGUUAACCGUAUAGGGGAGCCGUAGGGAAACCGAGUCUUAACUGGGCGAUUAGUUGCAAGGUAUAGACCCGAAACCCGGUGAUCUAGCCAUGGGCAGGUUGAAGGUUGGGUAACACUAACUGGAGGACCGAACCGACUAAUGUUGAAAAAUUAGCGGAUGACUUGUGGCUGGGGGUGAAAGGCCAAUCAAACCGGGAGAUAGCUGGUUCUCCCCGAAAGCUAUUUAGGUAGCGCCUCGUGAACUCAUCUUCGGGGGUAGAGCACUGUUUCGGCUAGGGGGCCAUCCCGGCUUACCAAACCGAUGCAAACUCCGAAUACCGAAGAAUGUUAUCACGGGAGACACACGGCGGGUGCUAACGUCCGUCGUGAAGAGGGAAACAACCCAGACCGCCAGCUAAGGUCCCAAAGUCAUGGUUAAGUGGGAAACGAUGUGGGAAGGCACAGACAGCCAGGAUGUUGGCUUAGAAGCAGCCAUCAUUUAAAGAAAGCGUAAUAGCUCACUGGUCGAGUCGGCCUGCGCGGAAGAUGUAACGGGGCUAAACCAUGCACCGAAGCUGCGGCAGCGACGCUUAGGCGUUGUUGGGUAGGGGAGCGUUCUGUAAGCCGUUGAAGGUGGCCUGUGAGGGUUGCUGGAGGUAUCAGAAGUGCGAAUGCUGACAUAAGUAACGAUAAAGCGGGUGAAAAGCCCGCUCGCCGGAAGACCAAGGGUUCCUGUCCAACGUUAAUCGGGGCAGGGUGAGUCGACCCCUAAGGCGAGGCUGAAAAGCGUAGUCGAUGGGAAACAGGUUAAUAUUCCUGUACUUGGUGUUACUGCGAAGGGGGGACGGAGAAGGCUAGGCUGGCCGGGCGACGGUUGUCCCGGUUUAAGCGUGUAGGGGGUGUGACCUGGUAAAUCCGGUUGCAUACUAACCCUGAGGCGUGAUGACGAUGCACUACGGUGCAGAAGUAGUUGAUGCCCUGCUUCCAGGAAAAUCCUCUAAGCUCCAGGUAACAUUAAAUCGUACCCCAAACCGACACAGGUGGUCAGGUAGAGAAUACCAAGGCGCUUGAGAGAACUCGGGUGAAGGAACUAGGCAAAAUGGUGCCGUAACUUCGGGAGAAGGCACGCUGGCAUGUAGGUGAAGUCCCUUGCGGAUGGAGCUGAAGCCAGUCGAAGAUACCAGCUGGCUGCAACUGUUUAAUAAAAACACAGCACUGUGCAAACACGAAAGUGGACGUAUACGGUGUGACGCCUGCCCGGUGCUGGAAGGUUAAUUGAUGGGGUCAGCCGCAAGGCGAAGCUCUUGAUCGAAGCCCCAGUAAACGGCGGCCGUAACUAUAACGGUCCUAAGGUAGCGAAAUUCCUUGUCGGGUAAGUUCCGACCUGCACGAAUGGCGUAAUGAUGGCCAGGCUGUCUCCACCCGAGACUCAGUGAAAUUGAACUCGCUGUGAAGAUGCAGUGUACCCGCGGCAAGACGGAAAGACCCCGUGAACCUUUACUAUAGCUUGACACUGAACAUUGAGCCUUGAUGUGUAGGAUAGGUGGGAGGCUUUGAAGCGUGGACGCCAGUCUGCGUGGAGCCAUCCUUGAAAUACCACCCUUUAAUGUUUGAUGUUCUAACUCNGGGGUGAGGACAGUGUCUGGUGGGUAGUUUGACUGGGGCGGUCUCCUCCCAAAGAGUAACGGAGGAGCACGAAGGUUAGCUAAUCACGGUCGGACAUCGUGAGGUUAGUGCAAAGGCAUAAGCUAGCUUGACUGCGAGAGUGACGGCUCGAGCAGGUACGAAAGUAGGUCUUAGUGAUCCGGUGGUUCUGAAUGGAAGGGCCAUCGCUCAACGGAUAAAAGGUACUCCGGGGAUAACAGGCUGAUACCGCCCAAGAGUUCAUAUCGACGGCGGUGUUUGGCACCUCGAUGUCGGCUCAUCACAUCCUGGGGCUGAAGUAGGUCCCAAGGGUAUGGCUGUUCGCCAUUUAAAGUGGUACGCGAGCUGGGUUUAGAACGUCGUGAGACAGUUCGGUCCCUAUCUGCCGUGGGCGUUGGAAGAUUGAGAGGGGUUGCUCCUAGUACGAGAGGACCGGAGUGAACGCACCACUGGUGUUCGGGUUGUCAUGCCAAUGGCAUUGCCCGGUAGCUAAGUGCGGAAAAGAUAAGCGCUGAAAGCAUCUAAGCGCGAAACUUGCCUCAAGAUGAGUCUUCCCUUGGACUUUGA
rnacentral:rRNA from 1 species